rnacentral:pre_miRNA from 14 species
UUGCAAACUGAUAUUCACGAUAAGCGCUAUCCUUCCGUUGUAUUCAAGCUUGGUUGUCGAGUACACGUGCUCGGAUAACGCUCAUCGAGUCUGAUCGGUUAUGUU